AGUGAACGCUGGCGGCGUGCCUAAUACAUGCAAGUCGAACGGAGAUUAAGUAGCUUGCUAUUUAAUCUUAGUGGCGCACGGGUGAGUAAUGUAUAGCUAAUCUGCCCUACACUAUGAGGACAACAGUUGGAAACGACUGCUAAUACUCUAUACUCCUGUCUGACAUAAGUUAGAUAGGGAAAGUUUUUCGGUGUAGGAUGAGGCUAUAUUGUAUCAGCUAGUUGGUGAGGUAAUGGCUCACCAAGGCUAUGACGCAUAACUGGUCUGAGAGGAUGAUCAGUCACACUGGAACUGAGACACGGUCCAGACUCCUACGGGAGGCAGCAGUAGGGAAUAUUGCUCAAUGGGGGAAACCCUGAAGCAGCAACGCCGCGUGGAGGAUGACACUUUUCGGAGCGUAAACUCCUUUUGUUAGGGAAGAACAAUGACGGACCUAACGAAUAAGC
rnacentral:rRNA from 1 species